rnacentral:RNase_P_RNA from 1 species
GUGGGGUGGAUAAAUGCGGUAUAUAAUUUAAUUAUGCCGAGGAAAGUCCGUACCUCAAAAGGGAUUCAUGCAAGCUAACGGCUUGGAGGCGUGAGCCUACGGAAAGUGCAACAGAAAAGAUACCGCCCGUAAAAGGGUAAGGGUGAAAAGGUGAGGUAAGAGCUUACCGCAUUCUUGGUGACAAGAUAUGGCAUUGUAAACCCCAUGAGAGGCAAGAUCAAAUAGAAGCGUUAUAAAGAUUUCCCUUUUCAAGCUUCAGGUAGAUCGCUCGAAGGUUAUAGUGAUAUAAUUCUCAGAUAAAUAUUUAUCAUAGUAUAUUUAUAUACUAACAGAAUACGGCUUAUAACCCCACUA